CAUGUAAAUGCUGGCCAGUAUCCAGAACAAAAAUCCAUCUCACAUCUACAUACUAAACGGCACCUCGCGGGAAUUCUACAUCCGCGGAAAGCCAUACUGCACCUCGCGGGGUCUUACUAUGCCCGGCGGCAAGCAGAAUAUAAGUCGUAGGACCGGCCGAUCCUACGCCUAGGGCCGUGUCCCCCCUAGGAAGGGACUGGGCUCCGCCCACCCAGAAGGCUACUAUGUACACAAAGGCCGAUGUUCAACCCCAUCGACUAUAGGUGUCCUGCGAUACUGCCAAGCCAUGCAUAAAUGCCAUAAUGCACCCUCCCAAUACUCUACUAAAAAGGAGUAUAAUCAAGAUUACCACUCACUCGAUCAUGACGCAAUCAUAAACUAACAUCAGGGUUAGGAGUGAGGGUCAAGAAAGUGCAAUACAACUCAAUAUACUACUAAAAAGGCUCUACAAAUCUUUGAAAUGGAGGAAAUGAAAUCAAUUUACAAAAGAAGUUAUUUCACAAUUUGGAACCAAUUUAAUUACUCAUAAAAGAGUAUAAUCAAGCUACGACUCACAAGUCUUUAAAAUAGAGGAAAUGAAAUUAAUUUACAAAAGAAAUCAUUUCACAAUUCGAAAUCAAUUUGAUUACUCAUCAACCCCUCGUAAUUUCUCUCAAUGUUCCCUCAAAUGCAUGUACAGAAUAAUCAAGCAUGGAGAAUCAAGAUUAUAGAGAAAUCUACUACAAUAUCAAUC
rnacentral:lncRNA from 1 species